rnacentral:rRNA from 1 species
UACAAACAAAAUUUCAUAAUAAUUAAAUUAAUAUAAUAUAAUUAAUUUGAAAAAAUGUAUUAGUUUACAAAUUAGAUUAAUCUGAAAUGAUUAUAUAAUAUAUGCUUACAAAUUAUAUGUACUAUUUUAAUUAUUAUCAGUAACAGAUUUAUAAUUAUUAUAGAAUAACUGAUCUAAUUUUAUAAACGUGAUUAUUAAAAUUUUUAAACCCAACGAAUUCAAUUUAGUAACAUCUCAAAAGUCAUAGCAAGGUAGUG